ACGAGUAUAUAACAUGCUGUAAAUUUAUGAUACUCAUAAAACGGAAAACCGUCUUUUUAAUUAAAGAGCUUUAUUAUAUAAAUUAUAUGUUUUCUAUAUAGCAUAUAUAAAUGUAAAUAAUAUCGUUAAAAAUAGUGAAUUGAAUCAUCUAAUUAACUAAUUAAAAAAAUCAACCGAGAUGCCGUAAGUAGUGGCGAGCGAACAUGGCGAAGACACGAAAGAUUUACUAAUUUUAAAAUAAAUUUUUGCUGUUUAAAAGCAACAAAAAAUGCCGGAGAUAGGUUUAUGCAAAUUGUAUAUGUUUAGCCCUGUAAAAAAUAUUAUAUCUUCUUAAAAGUAAAAUAAUUUACGUAGAGUUAUUUGAAUAAUGGGGAACCAUCCUCAAAGUCUGAAAAAAAUUAAUGAUUGAUAACGAAAUAGUACCGUGAGGGAAAGGUGAAAUAGUAAUUUGUGAAUUUGAAAAAACCUGAAACUUAAUGCUGACAAUCAGUUGAAGCUUUUAGAAAAAGUAACAGCGUACCUUUUGUAUAAUGGACCAACUAGUUUAUUUUGGUGGCAAGCUUAAACCUAUGGUGUAGGCUAAAAGAAAUUAAGUAUGAAAGUGCAAAAGUCUCCGAAAUAAAACCCGAAACUAAGUGAUCUAACCAUGGCCAGGAUGAAAAUUUGUAGCGGUAACGCUUGUUGAAGGUCCGAACCCGUGUCUGUAGAAAAAGACUGGGAUGAGCUGUGGUUAGGGGUGAAAGGCUAAUCAAACUUAGAAAUAGCUGGUUUUCUGCGAAAUCUAUUUAAGUAGAGCAUUUAAAAAUUUUAUUUUAAAGGUAGAGCACUCAAUAAACUAAGGGAAUGUUACAUUUUACUGAAUUUAAUGAAACUCCGAAUUUUAAUUUUAAAAAUUUAAAUAGACAGACUGCGGGUGCUAAGAUCCGUACGUCUAAAGGGAUACAGCCCAGACUAUUCGUUAAGGUCCAAAAGAAAAAUUAAGUGAAAAAAAAGUGAAAAAGUAAUAACAACUAGUAAGUAGGCUUGGAAGCAGCCAUCUUUUAAAGAAAGCGUAACAGCUCAUUAGUCUAAUUUUUUUGCGUUGCAAAUGUAUAUGGACUUAAAUUAUUCACCGAAACGAUAGAUUUUGUUUUUAACAAAAUGGUAGCAGAACGUUCUGUAAAUUAAAAGAUUUAUAGUGAUAUAAAUUGAAGAAAUCAGAAUUGAAAAUGUUGGUAUGAGUAGCGAAAACAAUGUUUGAAACAUUGUCACCUUAAGUUCAAGGGUUUUGAAGUAAAGUUAAUCUUCUUCAGAAUAAAACGGCCCCUAAGAAAAAAAACGAAAGUUUUUUUUGAUGGGUUUUUGGUAAUAUUCCAUUUUUAAUUUUUAGUGACAAAGUAAAACAAUUAUUUUCAUUAAAUGGGUAUAAAUGAAAGUUUUCUAUUAUUUUCUGGAAACAGCUAAGAUUUUUUAAAAACCGUACCCUAAACCGACACAGGUGAACUGAUUAAAUAAAUUAAGGUGCUUGAGAAAACUAUAUUGAAGGAACUCGGCAAAAUAACUCCGUAACUUAGGGAGAAGGAGUAACGUUAAAAGGGCAACCUUUUAACGUUGUCACAGAAUUGAGGACAGCGACUGUUUAACAAAAACACAGGUCUCUGCUAAAUUUUAAAAAGAUGUAUAGAGACUGACGCCUGCCCGGUGCUGCAAGGUUAAUGUAAAAGGUUUUGGCUUCAAACUGAAGCCCCAGUAAACGGCGGCUGUAACUCUGACGGUCCAAAGGUAGCGAAAUUCCUUGGCAUUUAAUUGGUGUCCUUGCAUGAAUGGCGUAACGACUGUCCUACUGUCUCCAAUAUAGUCUCAGUGAAAUUGAAAUUUCUGUGAAGAUGCAGAAUAUUUACGGCUAGACGGAAAGACCCCGUGCACCUUUACUAUAAUCAUACAUUGUAAUAAACAUUCUUAUAUGUAGAAUAAGUGGAAGUUUAUAAAAACUUUUAUUUUUUAAAUAGUUUUCAAACGUUAAUGAAAUACCGCUUUUAAAAUUGUUUGUUACUAAUUUUUUAAAAAACAUUGUAUGACGGGUAGUUUGACUGGGGCGGUCGCCUCCUAAAAGGUAACGGAGGCGUACAAAGGUUUCCUCAGAUCGGUCAGAAAUCGAUCGUAGAGUGUAAAGGCAUAAGGAAGCUUGACUGUGAGACCUACAAGUCGAGCAGGGACGAAAGUCGGUCUUAGUGAUCUGACGGUACUGAGUGGAAAGGCCGUCACUCAACGGAUAAAAGUUACUC
rnacentral:rRNA from 1 species